GGAGUUCAGCUGUGGGCUGUGUGAAAACAGGCUGCUAAACUCUCUCUCCUUCUGUCCUUCUACUUUGACCUACGGCAGUUAAGAGUCAACCUCAUUGCUGUGGGUCUGGAGACCAGACCAGACAGAAUCAUGGAUGCUAAACAAAUAAAGGAAACAAAUCGGGAGGUUUUGGACAACAUACAUACUAGAAAGGAGAUGUCUGCAGCCUUAAAAGCAAGGCAAAUCGUCCUUCACGUGGAACAACUUGUUUUGUUUAAAUUUAAGACCCAUGUUUUUGGAUUGUUGAAAAU